UACAGAGGGUGCAAGCGUUGUUCGGAAUCAUUGGGCGUAAAGCGUGCGCAGGCGGCGCGUUAAGACAGGUGUGAAAGCCCCGAGCUUAACUUGGGAAUUGCGCUUGUGACUGGCGUGCUGGAGUGUGGCAGAGGGAGGUGGAAUUCCACGUGUAGCAGUGAAAUGCGUAGAGAUGUGGAGGAACACCGAUGGCGAAGGCAGCCUCCUGGGCCAGCACUGACGCUCAUGCACGAAAGCGUGGGGAGCAAACAGG
rnacentral:rRNA from 1 species